rnacentral:rRNA from 1 species
CGUGCGUAGGCGGCUUCUUAAGUCGGAUGUGAAAUCCCUGAGCUUAACUUAGGAAUUGCAUUCGAUACUGGGAAGCUAGAGUAUGGGAGAGGAUGGUAGAAUUCCAGGUGUAGCGGUGAAAUGCGUAGAGAUCUGGAGGAAUACCGAUGGCGAAGGCAGCCAUCUGGCCUAAUACUGACGCUGAGGUACGAAAGCAUGGGGAGCAAACAGGA